rnacentral:rRNA from 1 species
CCGUAGGUGAACCUGCGGAGGGAUCAUUACCGAGUUUACAACUCCCAAACCCCUGUGAACAUACCUAUACGUUGCCUCGGCGGAUCAGCCCGCGCCCCGUAAAACGGGACGGCCCGCCCGAGGACCCCUAAACUCUGUUUUUAGUGGAACUUCUGAGUAAAACAAACAAAUAAAUCAAAACUUUCAACAACGGAUCUCUUGGUUCUGGCAUCGAUGAAGAACGCAGCAAAAUGCGAUAAGUAAUGUGAAUUGCAGAAUUCAGUGAAUCAUCGAAUCUUUGAACGCACAUUGCGCCCGCCAGUAUUCUGGCGGGCAUGCCUGUUCGAGCGUCAUUUCAACCCUCAAGCUCAGCUUGGUGUUGGGACUCGCGGUAACCCGCGUUCCCCAAAUCGAUUGGCGGUCACGUCGAGCUUCCAUAGCGUAGUAAUCAUACACCUCGUUACUGGUAAUCGUCGCGGCCACGCCGUAAAACCCCAACUUCUGAAUGUUGACCUCGGAUCAGGUAGGAAUACCCGCUGAACUUAAGCAUAUCAAUAAGCGGAGGA